CAGUCCAAUCAAAAGUGUCGACACUGACACAGGAACGGAAUGAAAAGACAUGAAGCCGAUGAAUCCAGCUAAAAAGCAUUACAAAUAUGAUCCAAAGUUUCUUUUAAAACAUGCAGGAAGAUUCACGCUCAUCAUUUUAACUACGGUUGCUCUAACGAAUGCAAUGAUGUGGGAUAUAAGAAGACAUCACAAAGAACUUGAUACAUACUUUGAGCCAAAGGAUAAAGCUAAGAAAAAUACUUAAAAAAACAAGAAAGCUAGGAAGACAUAAAUAAGUGUUUAAUUUUGUACAUUCAUUUUUGUGCACAAAAGUUGACUGCAGACAAUAUUUGUGAGAAGAAGGAACAGUUUGGAGUGAAAUCAUAAAUUAACAUUCUGCAUUCAUUGUGUCACAAAAAGUACUAACUUAUACAACUUGCAAUUGGAUGCUGUGCUUUUUAAGCAAAAGUCUGAUUUUAUGAUAUUAUAAAUAUUGAAAAGGACACACCUGUCAAAACAUAGACACACAUGUGGAUUGGUACUGUGAACAGAUAGCUAGCUGACAGCUCUAUAAAUGAGUAGCAGAAGUUUUAGUCAAAGAACUUUUCAACUAGAUUUUCUUCAUUUAGUUAUGCCAAAAAUAAGACUGAAAAUUGAUAAAGAAUUUGUUGUUUUAGGAGGAAUUUUAACAUUUUUGACAUUCAAAUAUUAUUUCACAUACAAGAUGUACAAUAAUAUUCCUCCUUUUUGGAAAAAAACUGAAAAUGAAUCAGACAGAUCUGCUGAGGACUGGAAAUGAAAAUGGUGGUUUUAGAUAUCAAUGACUGCUGUGAUGUAAUUAUUUAUUUAAAUAGUAUGUUAUUUUUCAAUGUUUGUAACAUUUUGAGAUUAUCUGGUAACAAGUCUGUGAUUUUACAGCUGAAAUCAUUUAAGUUUAACCAAUUUUCUUAUGAGGGGUCAGUUCUGUAUUAAAGUGGUGUUUAAAAUAAUAUCAGGCAUUGAAACCAAAAUUUCACUGGAGGAACUUGGGUAAAUUGUUAAAAGUAAAAUCACUUUAAUGAAGUUUUAAGUUGCAAAAUUUUUCAAAAUUUAUUUUAAUUUUUAAUUUUCAAUUUGAUAGUUGUAGGUAAAAUUCAAAAUUACAUGCAUUUUGCUAGAAGAUAAGUCAACACUUGUAUAAACAUGUACAUGAUGUAUGAGUUUGGGACUCAUAUUUUUUUCUUGAUUUUUUUCUACACUAAGAAGGUUCUUUUGUUGUAGGUUUAAUACCAAUCUUCAUGGAUUGCAAGAUUUAUCAAAUACACUAAUUAUACACAAAUAUUAAUACCAAUAAAUGACAGUUUUUCAAUUUCCAUUAA